AGAGUUUGAUUCUGGCUCAGAACGAACGCUGGCGGCGUGGAUAAGACAUGCAAGUCGAACGAGAGAAUUGCUAGCUUGCUAAUAAUUCUCUAGUGGCGCACGGGUGAGUAACACGUGAGUAACCUGCCCCCGAGAGCGGGAUAGCCCUGGGAAACUGGGAUUAAUACCGCAUAGUAUCGAAAGAUUAAAGCAGCAAUGCGCUUGGGGAUGGGCUCGCGGCCUAUUAGUUAGUUGGUGAGGUAACGGCUCACCAAGGCGAUGACGGGUAGCCGGUCUGAGAGGAUGUCCGGCCACACUGGAACUGAGACACGGUCCAGACACCUACGGGUGGCAGCAGUCGAGAAUCAUUCACAAUGGGGGAAACCCUGAUGGUGUGACGCCGCGUGGGGGAAUGAAGGUCUUCGGAUUGUAAACCCCUGUCAUGUGGGAGCAAAUUAAAAAGAUAGUACCACAAGAGGAAGAGACGGCUAACUCUGUGCCAGCAGCCGCGGUAAUACAGAGGUCUCAAGCGUUGUUCGGAAUCACUGGGCGUAAAGCGUGCGUAGGCUGUUUCGUAAGUCGUGUGUGAAAGGCGCGGGCUCAACCCGCGGACGGCACAUGAUACUGCGAGACUAGAGUAAUGGAGGGGGAACCGGAAUUCUCGGUGUAGCAGUGAAAUGCGUAGAUAUCGAGAGGAACACUCGUGGCGAAGGCGGGUUCCUGGACAUUAACUGACGCUGAGGCACGAAGGCCAGGGGAGCGAAAGGGAUUAGAUACCCCUGUAGUCCUGGCAGUAAACGGUGCACGCUUGGUGUGCGGGGAAUCGACCCCCUGCGUGCCGGAGCUAACGCGUUAAGCAUUCCGCCUGGGGAGUACGGUCGCAAGAUUAAAACUCAAAGGAAUUGACGGGGACCCGCACAAGCGGUGGAGUAUGUGGCUUAAUUCGAUGCAACGCGAAGAACCUUACCUGGGCUUGACAUGUAAUGAACAACAUGUGAAAGCAUGCGACUCUUCGGAGGCGUUACACAGGUGCUGCAUGGCCGUCGUCAGCUCGUGUCGUGAGAUGUUUGGUUAAGUCCAGCAACGAGCGCAACCCCUGUUGCCAGUUACCAGCACGUGAAGGUGGGGACUCUGGCGAGACUGCCCAGAUCAACUGGGAGGAAGGUGGGGACGACGUCAGGUCAGUAUGGCCCUUAUGCCCAGGGCUGCACACGUACUACAAUGCCCAGUACAGAGGGGGCCGAAGCCGCGAGGCGGAGGAAAUCCUGAAAACUGGGCCCAGUUCGGACUGUAGGCUGCAACCCGCCUACACGAAGCCGGAAUCGCUAGUAAUGGCGCAUCAGCUACGGCGCCGUGAAUACGUUCCCGGGUCUUGUACACACCGCCCGUCACAUCAUGGAAGCCGGUCGCACCCGAAGUAUCUGAAGCCAACCGCAAGGAGGCAGGGUCCUAAGGUGAGACUGGUAACUGGGAUGAAGUCGUAACAAGGUAGCCGUAGGGGAACCUGCGG
rnacentral:rRNA from 1 species